rnacentral:rRNA from 1 species
UACGAAGGUCCCAAGCGUUAUCCGGAUUUAUUGGGUUUAAAGGGUGCGUAGGCGGGCUAUUAAGUCAGUGGUGAAAGCCCCAAGCUUAACUUGGGAACUGCCAUUGAUACUGACGGUCUUGAGUACAUUUGAGGUGGGCGGAAUGUGUCAUGUAGCGGUGAAAUGCUUAGAUAUGACACAGAACACCGAUUGCGAAGGCAGCUCACUAAACUGUAACUGACGCUGAGGCACGAAAGCGUGGGGAGCAAACAGG